UACGGAAGGUCCGAGCGUUGUCCGGAUUUACUGGGUGUAAAGGGUGCGUAGGCGGGAAUGCAAGUCAGGUGUGAAAUCUAUGGGCUCAACCCAUAAACUGCACUUGAAACUGCGUUUCUUGAGUGUCGGAGAGGUAGAUGGAAUUCCUAGUGUAGCGGUGAAAUACGUAGAUAUUAGGAGGAACACCAGUGGCGAAGGCGAUCUACUGGACGAUAACUGACGCUGAGGCGCGAAAGCGUGGGGAGCAAAC
rnacentral:rRNA from 1 species